rnacentral:rRNA from 1 species
CCUACGGGUGGCAGCAGUGGGGAAUAUUGCACAAUGGGGGAAACCCUGAUGCAGCGACGCCGCGUGAGUGAAGAAGUAAUUCGUUAUGUAAAGCUCUAUCAGCAGGGAAGAAAAUGACGGUACCUUAGUAAGAAGCCCCGGCUAACUACGGUCCAGCAGCCGCGGUAAGACGUAGGGGGCAAACGUUAUCCGGAUUUACGGGGGGUAAAGGGAGCGUAGACGGGAGUGCAAGUCUGGAGUGAAGGGCGGGGGCCCAACCCCCGGACUGCUCUGGAAACUGUACGGCUGGAGUGCAGGAGAGGUAAGUGGAAUUCCUAGUGUAGAGGUGAAAUGCGUAGAUAUUAGGAGGAACACCAGUGGCGAAGGCGGCUUACUGGACUGUAACUGACGUUGAGGCUCGAAAGCGUGGGGAGCAAACAGGAUUAGAUACCCGAGUAGUC